CNUGUAUUAGAGAAGUAAAGUCGUACCAGGUUCCGUAGGUNACCUGCGGAGGAUCAUUA
rnacentral:rRNA from 1 species